CAGACAUUAUUUCUUAACAGAUCCUAAAGCACUUAAAAUGAUGUCUUCCAUGGAGUGAAUACUUAAGAAGCAUUAACCGUUUUUAGUUCUGUCUGGCACCAUUUUACAGAUGGGAAAUGGAGGUUGGGGGUGUUUAAAAACUUGAUCGGAGUCACCUAUGAAUCCAAGGUGGUCGCAUUUAGAAUACAGUGAUUCUGAGAGCAAUUUUACCAAGCAGCUCUCGGUCACCCUGGGAGAGCCACUGUCUCCUCAGUGCCCCCAGGGGCUAAUACUGUGAGACAGACUCAUACACAGCGGUCUCCUCCAACUCCAGCUCCCUAGGGAAACUCUAAAAUAUACUGUGGCACCUCACCACACAAGUAAGCAUUGUUAUACCCUCUUUCCCGGAGGGACAGCGUGUCUGGACAGGU
rnacentral:lncRNA from 1 species